rnacentral:other from 2 species
AUGCCCCUGCCGUGUUCGUGAUUAGACCAUGCUCUUUGACCCAAUGUUGAAUUAAAGGGAGCUUUCACUGAUUUUGGUGAGCAAGUUCUACUUGUAUAGAAAAGCCUAAAGAAAUUAUAAAGCACCCACCUUUUAAAAUGGGUUCAAAGACUUGCUAACACGGCACUAUGGCGGGGGCUUU